rnacentral:rRNA from 1 species
UACAGAGGGGGCAAGCGUUGUUCGGAAUUACUGGGCGUAAAGGGCGCGUAGGUGGCCUUCUAAGUCAUGCGUGAAAUCCCCGGGCUCAACCCGGGAACUGCGUCUGAUACUGGAAGGCUUGAAUCCGGGAGAGGGAUGCGGAAUUCCAGGUGUAGCGGUGAAAUGCGUAGAUAUCUGGAGGAACACCGGUGGCGAAGGCGGCAUCCUGGACCGGUAUUGACACUGAGGCGCGAAAGCCAGGGGAGCAAACGGG